GCCGGACAUGGUGGUGCCUGCCUGUCAUCCCAGCAGCUUGGGAGGCUGAGGCAGGAGGAUUGUGAGUUCAAAGCCAGCCUCAGCAACUUAGUGAGGUCCUCAGCAACUCAGAGAGACCCUGUCUCUA
rnacentral:sRNA from 1 species